GACGAACGCUGGCGGCGUGCCUAACACAUGCAAGUCUAACGAGAAAGGGGUAGCAAUAUCCUGAGUACAGUGGCGCACGGGUGAGUAACACGUAGGCAAUUUACCUUCAGGACGGGGACAACCUCGAGAAAUCGGGGCUAAUACCCGAUAAUGCAGCGGCACCGCAUGGUGACAGUUGUUAAAGGCCCGCAAGGGCGCCCGGAGAUGAGCCUGCGUCCCAUUAGGUAGUUGGUGAGGUAACGGCCCACCAAGCCUACGAUGGGUAGCUGGUCUGAGAGGAUGAUCAGCCACACUGGAACUGAGACACGGUCCAGACUCCUACGGGAGGCAGCAGUGAGGAAUAUUGCGCAAUGGCCGAAAGGCUGACGCAGCGACGCCGCGUGAAGGAUGAAGUCCGUUAGGAUGUAAACUUCUUUUGCAGGGGAAGAAUGUGGCGCCUUGGGCGCCAUUGACGGUACCCUGCGAAUAAGGGUCGGCUAACUACGUGCCAGCAC
rnacentral:rRNA from 1 species